UACGUAGGGUGCAAGCGUUGUCCGGAAUUAUUGGGCGUAAAGAGCUCGUAGGCGGUUUGUCGCGUCUGCUGUGAAAACUCGGGGCUUAACCCCGGGCCUGCAGUGGGUACGGGCAGACUAGAGUGCGGUAGGGGAGACUGGAAUUCCUGGUGUAGCGGUGAAAUGCGCAGAUAUCAGGAGGAACACCGGUGGCGAAGGCGGUGGUCUGGGCCGGCACUGACGCUGAGGAGCGAAAGCGUGGGGAGCAAACAGG
rnacentral:rRNA from 1 species